rnacentral:rRNA from 1 species
GACGAACGCUGGCGGCGUGCUUAACACAUGCAAGUCGAACGGAAAGGCCCUGCUUUUGUGGGGUGCUCGAGUGGCGAACGGGUGAGUAACACGUGAGUAACCUGCCCUUGACUUUGGGAUAACUUCAGGAAACUGGGGCUAAUACCGGAUAGGAGCUCCUGCUGCAUGGUGGGGGUUGGAAAGUUUCGGCGGUUGGGGAUGUACUCGCGGCUUAUCAGCUUGUUGGUGGGGUAGUGGCUUACCAAGGCUUUGACGGGUAGCCGGCCUGAGAGGGUGACCGGCCACAUUGGGACUGGGAUACGGCCCAGACUGCUACGGGAGGCAGCAGUGGGGAAUAUUGCACAAUGGGCGGAAGCCUGAUGCAGCGACGCCGCGUGCGGGAUGACGGCCUUCGGGUUGUAAACCGCUUUCGCCUGUGACGAAGCGUGAGUGACGGUAAUGGGUAAAGAAGCACCGGCUAACUACGUG